UCAACUGUGGUUGUAAAUCGAGGACUACUAGUAAGCUUAUGAUUUGCAGAAGUUUAAGCACCCCUAUUACCAAUUAAUCCCUAUCCUAUUUAAUGUAAAAACUAUGUGCACGAUCCACACGUCAAGUAUUUAUUAAAGGAAAAGUUGAACACUGCAUGUCUAUGUUUGAAAAACAAUUUUAGUGUUACAAAUGCUUUGUGGCUAGAGUACUAACAAUACCAGAUUUAGCAAAUAAAUAGAACAUAAUUUAUCUGAUUCCAGUGCCUGAACUAAAGAGUCCAGAAUCCAGGCAAAGCACACAGACCAUCAAAAGUUUGGUCAAACAUUCUGCUAAUCUGUUGAGUUGAUAGAAGCAUGCGAAGAGAGGACUCUUUUAUUCAGUGUUCUUCAACCGUGGCAACUUUUAAAUGCGGACUUCAGAUAAAACGCUGGCUGGAUUGAAAGCCACACUUCUUAAAGGCUGAAAACCGCUGCCUUAAUCUGACACUGUUCUAGGAUUGUAUAACAUCGGAAUCCUUAGGCUCCUCCCUCGCCCCCCCCCCCCGGUCCUUCGCAGAAAAGCCAGACGACUGCAAGAGAGGCAGAGCACUAACGGGACGGCCAAUUAUUUCAUGCCGGGAGGUUCUUCAAAAUCAAGGAGGCGGGAGGAGAUCGAUUAAACUCCAGCAACGGGAUGCGCCCCGCUUUCCCUCCCGGACCACCCGCCUAUUUUAAGCGAGCGCCGCUGAGCUGGCCGGCCUGCCUGCCGGUCCUUUACCUGCGCAUGCGCUGCCGGAUGGCAACUCCGGAGUUAACUUCUGGAGCUGCUCGCUGAUUCUCUUCUAGUCGGAACCACCCCCGCCAGGGUACAUGGCCGCGCAGGGGAAGCCGCGGCCGCAGAGCGUCCUCGGCUUGUGAGUGUCUCGUUUUGUGAGCCGGGGCUGUCCCUUUGUGUCCUCCUGGGUAUCCCGAUAACUUACCGCGGUGGCCAGCUGGAGAAGCAGCAGCCGCAGCCAUGACGGAGCCCCUUCCCGCUCUUUUCACGGCUUGCUUGGUGCAAUGGCGGGGUCCCGGAUAGGUAGGCAGGGAAAGCGCUCGCCUUCAAUCCCGGUCAGCGUCUAGAGAGGCACGCCGAGCUUCAGCCUUCGCCUGACUCGGUUUAUAUCGUGGUGUGAAUGAGUGACAGAGACCAGUUUCUCACUGUAAAUCUCAAAAUGGUUUACAAUUGGACAGAUAGCAUUAUUCAUUCAUUAAAAGUAUGAAGAGAAGGAAAAGAAAAAACGGCUGAACAUGGAACAAUUGUACAGGAAAGAUGUGAAGGGCUCUGAAAGAAAAAAAAAUGAAAUUAACAAAAAAUUGAAUCCUAUCCUAUCCGCAGAACAGCCAUCACUUUGUAUAACCAGUAGAGCAUAUUCAACUUAAACUACCACCUUGUUUCUCUGAGAAUAUUUGUAUGUCAAAUAUUUAAACACUUCAAAAUGUUCCACCUCUUAUUUCAUUGUAAAACUACAGAGAAACACUGUAUUCAAGAUCCUUAUUAUAAGACCACACAGCAACACUAUACUCAAGAUUGUUAUUUUAUUCCUGUAUUGCAAGUAUAAAAAAAAGCUGAUCCAAGGCCACUGAGUUAUGGACAAAAGACAUCCCAUUCAAUAGCACAAUUGCUCUAUAUAGUAUAUAAUUAGCACCUAUGAUGGUUUACAUAUUUGGGAUAAUUCUGACAUCUUAUUUCUACAGAUGCAAGAACAGAUUUUAUCUUAUUUCUACAGAUGCAAGAACAGAUUUUUACUUUUGCAAGAAAUGAAUAGAAAGAGACCUGACCUCUGCAACUGUUGUGCAAAAGAUUAAUUUGGUAUGUAGCUAACUUUCAUUAAUUAACAGGUUAGGCAAGAAAGCCAGCUGGAUGACUGGGUCAAUCUUCAUUCUCAGCCUAACCCACCUCACAGAAUUGUUGUGGGGAAAUAGGAGGAAGGAGUAUUAUGUAUAUUUGCCUUAUCAAAUUAAUAAAGGCAGGGAUAGUAAAUAUAUAAAUGUAAUUGAUUACUAUUAAAGUAAACCAAUUGGG